rnacentral:misc_RNA from 1 species
UUGUUAAACAAACUUUGUAUAAAGCUGGUUUUGUUAUAAACAUUGAAAAGUCUGUCUUCAUACCCGUCCAAGUAUUAGAAUGGGUAGGUUAUGUCUGGGAUUUAAAAACAGGUUUUCUGAAGAUACCAGACAGAAGAAUUAAAAAUACGUUAGAGUGUAUUCAUAAUACAAUUUCUAACCUACCUUGCUCUACAGCUGGAAAGUUAGCGAGGCUGUCUGGGAAAAUCAUUUCCAUGGCUCCUGUGUUAGGUAGUAGCGCUCUUUUUGAGACUAAAGUGUUUUACAGGUUCAUUGAAAAUAGGGUUUCUUGGGACAGGAAAAUGGUCAUAGAAAACAAUGUUGUUCAGGCGAUUCUUUUUUGGCAACGUCAGCUAAAAUCACCGUUUGCUAGAACAUUAUUUGUUGAACCUCUACCUUCAGUACUAGUGUACUCGGACGCAUCUAGCUCAGCUGGUGCAGCUUACAUUGUCGAAUGUAAUCAGACAGUUGCCCAUAAAUUUUGGUCAGAAGAUGAAAAAAUGCAGAGUUCUACAGCGAGAGAGUUGCUGGCUAUUAAGUAUUCCUUGCAAAGUUUAAUUGAUAAGUUAAAAGGAAAAUCUGUGGUCUGGUUUACAGAUAAUCAGAAUUGUCUACAUAUUUUUGAGAAGGGUAGUAUGAAGCUCGACUUACACGACAUAGCUGUCGGCAUUCAUUCUUUAUGCAUUUCACAUAGCAUAUCACUUGAGUUACAGUGGAUUAGAAGAAAUGAAAACACAGUUGCUGAUAGUCUUAGCAAAAUGGUUGAUUAUGAUGAUUAUGGUGUUUCAGAUACAUUUUUUCAGUUUGUUGAUCAAAUGUUUGGCCCACACACUAUAGAUCGUUUCGCAAAUGAUUACAAUACCAAACUACCAAGGUUCAAUUCCUUGUACUGGACCCCUUCUUCAGAAAAUGUUGAUGCCUUUUCUUUAAACUGGCAAAAUGAAAAUAAUUGGUUGGUACCUCCAGUAGUUUACAUACCCAAAGUUCUCAAUCAUUUAGUAUUCUGCAGAGCAAAAGGAACGUUGAUAGCUCCGUACUGGCCAUCUAGUCCGUUUUUCCCUCUAUUGUUUGGCCCGAAUUCAAUAAAUAAAGAUUUUAUUAAAGAUACUUUAGCUUUUAGAAAUAGUUCUGAUAUUUACAUUCAAGGUAAAUUCAAAAACACUAUUUUUGGUUCUGAAAAAUUUACUAGCAAAGUAUUAGUUAUCAGGAUAGAGUGUGACAUAUAAGGGAGAUAACUGCGUUAUGACUGAAAAUGUUAGCCAUUGUAUUAUAUACAUGUAUUAUGUUUACUUAGUGAAAAUAUUAGCUGCAUUGUGUUAUCUGUAUUUAUUUCUUUAACAGGACUUUUUAAAUCCAACAGAUGGGAUGAUGUUAUGGAUAAAUGUAGUAAUCCGGCUCUGCCCUCUUGGAUGUUUUCAGAAGUGAAAGAAGCUGUUUUAUCGAGCAAGGAAAAGUCUACCUGAGAUUUAAAAGUAUUCAGCCUCUUUUCAAUUUCAAUACACAAAUCAGUACCUUUGGAUUUAUUUCAACGGGGAAUUAAUACAGUUUAAAGAUGAUUCACUUGGCAGGACAAGUGUUGGACAAUGAUGGAUCGAUUUGUGAUUUACCGUGUAUUGUGAGGAAUUUCCAAGAUCGAUCAUUACUUAUUAAAGAUGUAUCUCUACCUUAUAAGGAGUAUGCGAAGAUGGACUCAACAAACAAAGAUAAGUGUUUAGAUUUAUAUGUUGAUCAUGGGCUGUACUGUGAUCGUGUCAUUUAUAGCGCUGACUAUCAAUAAAAUUGUGGCUGUGCCGUUUUGUGGCGUUGGCCGUUGAUCGAGCUGUGGUCGUGCCGUUUAUGGCGUUGACCGUUGAUUGCUCUGUGGUCGUGCCUUUUGUGGCGUCGACCGUUGAUUGAGCUGUGGCCGUGCCUUUUGCGGCGUCGACCGUUGAUUGAAUGUGGCUGUGCAGUUUGCGGCGUCGACCGUUGAUUGAACUGUGGCUGUACCGUUUUUGUGGCGUUGGCCGUUGAUAAAACUGUGGUCGUGCUAAUUAUGGCGUUGACCUUUUAUUGAACUGAGGUCCUGUCCUCUAUGGCAUACUGUGGUCACGCUGUUAAUGACGUUGACCCGAUUGAACUGUGGUCCUACAGUUCGUGGUGUAGAACGUUGACGGAACUGUGGUCGUGCUUUUUGUGGCGUUGACCGUCGAUUAACUGUGAUCGUGCAGUCUGUGGAGUUGACCGUUGAUUGAACUGUGAUUGUGGCGUUG